UACAGAGGCCUCGAGCGUUAAUCGGAGUCACUGGGCUUAAAGGGUGCGUAGGCGGUUCUUCAAGUGUCUUGUGAAAUCCCACAGCUCAACUGUGGAAUUGCUCGAUAGACUGGAGAACUUGAGGUUGGUAGAGGUUACUGGAACUCUAGGUGGAGCGGUGAAAUGCCUAGAUAUCUAGAGGAACACCGAACGUGAAGACAGGUAACUGGGCCAAUUCUGACGCUGAGGCACGAAAGCGUGGGGAGCAAACGGG
rnacentral:rRNA from 1 species